ACGCUCGACACCUACGGGAGCAGCAGUGGGGAAUAUUGCACAAUGGGGGAAACCCUGAUGCAGCGACGCCGCGUGAGCGAAGAAGUAUUUCGGUAUGUAAAGCUCUAUCAGCAGGGAAGAAACUGACGGUACCUGACUAAGAAGCACCGGCUAAAUACGUGCCAGCAGCCGCGGUAAUCUGAGCGGGCUGGCAAGGCU
rnacentral:rRNA from 1 species